CAAACGCUCCUCUCCUCGCCUCCUCCAAUGCUCCGCGCAUCAGGGAGUCGAAUAGCCGAGGCUAACUGCGAGCGCCGAGCCGGCCGGCAAACCCGGCUGCAGCCUGCAGCACCUGCCCUCUGCCCUCCUCAUCCUUUGCAGCGGCCAUGCUCCGAACAGGUUUGAUGCAAUAAAUUUAUAUAUAUAUGCUUUUCUUCCAUUUUUUUUCUGUUUGCUUGAUGUGUUAUGCAUCUUGUUUAUACUUGCUUCUCAACGAAAUUAUAUAGAACUUAACAAAAUGGUUAUUCAGGCCUUCUCAGCAAUCUGAAAUUUGCCCCAACUGCUUCCUGAAUAUAUUUGAAACCAUCUCUUUCCAAACAUUCUGCUAGCUCAGUUUUUAUUCUGGGGAUAAGAGCUGGACCACCAUAGCCAAGAGCAAUGUAAAGUUGAACAAGAGUAGCUCCAGCACGGAUCUUCUUGUAUGCAUCCUCGCCGCUACUUACACCAUCACGGAUCUUCUUGUUUAUACUUCAAACUCUGUUCCAAUAUUCCUUCUUUUAGAAAAUUCUCGUUGGUUUUAUCCAUAGCAAGAGAGGAAGUGGACAACUCUGAGCUGCUUUGUGCAAGCUAAUGUGAUCAGUAAUUUUUUAAAAUCUUUUAGAUACCCCCUUGUAAUCUUGCGAAACUCGUGUGGAACAUUUGAGCAUGGUGGAUCAAGCUAACAAAGUGAUUAGUUGACAUCAUUGUGCACGGACCGAGCAUAUACCUGCUAGGUUGCUACUCUCUUGAAACUUCCCUGUCCAGCCUAUAGUAGUUGUUGACUUGUUACUGAACAGAUAUUUUUAGAGACAUGGCACUGGGGCAGAAUAAUUACUUUCCAUUUUUUAUGCAAGUAUUGGUGAUGAAUACGUGAGCAAUAAUCUCAUUUGCUAUAUGGAGAAACAAGAAAUGUAAAAAAUUACAAAUGAUGUUGUGGUUCAUCGCUUCAGGGUAUUGAAAGAACACAAAAACUAGAAGAGCAACCAUGCGUUCUUCAGGUUGUGCCAAGCCAGACUUACCAUCUCCAUGAACCUGUGAGCACUGCUACUGAAUGAUGUACUUGUGAAGGCAUAACUGAGAAGGCUGCGUUCUAGUAUGGCAGUGGUCUGAUGAAUCCGUGGUAAUGUACAAGAAUAAGAGAUUCACCACCAAUGCUUCCAUACAGUUUGAAGGCUUGACCUGAAGUGUGUAAUGCACUAAUGCGUACAAGUUUGUUUCAAUAAAAUGGAAGACAAGUAUGCUAUCUA